rnacentral:rRNA from 1 species
UACGGGGGGGCAAGCGUUGUUCGGAAUUACUGGGCGUAAAGGGCUCGUAGGCGGCCAACUAAGUCGGAUGUGAAAUCCCCAGGCUCAACCUGGGAACUGCAUCCGAUACUGGAUGGCUUGAAUUCGGGAGAGGGAUGCAGAAUUCCAGGUGUAGCGGUGAAAUGCGUAGAUAUCUGGAGGAAUACCGGUGGCGAAGGCGGCAUCCUGGACCGACAUUGACGCUGAGGAGCGAAAGCCAGGGGAGCAAAAGGG